UACGAAGGGGGCUAGCGUUGCUCGGAAUCACUGGGCGUAAAGCGCACGUAGGCGGAUUGUUAAGUCAGGGGUGAAAUCCUGGAGCUCAACUCCAGAACUGCCUUUGAUACUGGCGAUCUCGAGUCCGGGAGAGGUGAGUGGAACUGCGAGUGUAGAGGUGAAAUUCGUAGAUAUUCGCAAGAACACCAGUGGCGAAGGCGGCUCACUGGCCCGGUACUGACGCUGAGGUGCGAAAGCGUGGGGAGCGAACAGGA
rnacentral:rRNA from 1 species